AUAAAUAAUAACUAAUAACUAGAAAGUGAAAAUUUCUGAAGAAAUUUUAAGUGUGCCUAUGCCGCCGCUAAUCAGUAUAGUUUGCCAUUCAAACGGCUACAGAGAGCAAAACUCACCGGAGCAGCCAUUCUCCACCAUGAACUAUGGUAAAACCAAACACCGCUCGCGCCUCACAGAUGACAGCUUACAGUUUUGUGUAAAGAUGAGGUGACUUCGUACAGCCCCAAUUUGUAGACGCUGUGCGCAGAGGUUCAUAAGCAGACCCGACAAUGUUUGCAUGAACACACUUUGAAGCAUUACGUUAUGGACCACUUUUCACACAUAGUUGCUGUACCCACACAGCCGGCUGUAGCUUUUCAUCUCAUAGCCCGACACAUACACAAAAAAAAAAAAAAAAAAAAAAAAAAAAAAAAAAAAGCAGAGAGAGCACAGACUUUACACCUGAGAGGCGUGAUUGCAGAUGCCGCUGAGGUGGGUCCACCUCCCCUGCAGCGGCACUGCAGACCACGCCCUGCCACACACAUCAAACACGUAAAAUAAAUAUUUAUGCACUUUUCAUUCACUUUUUGUUUUUUGUUAUUUUUACACAGUGUUCUGAAUGAUUAACAAUGGUCUACAGCCAAUCUUGUGUAUUAUUAUACAAACUUUGAGGACAAAUGGUCAAAAUUGCUAAAAUUUACAACAUAUAUGCAGCUCAACAGCGACACCUUGUGACUUAUUCCAGUCACUACCUUACAUAUACAUAACGUCUUACCUGACAUUCAGUUCACCGGACACUCAUACUGAAUCACCAGCCCAUAUAAAUGAAAAAUAAGUCCAGCAGCCAACCAAGAGUCAUCACGAAAGACUAGGGGUGACACGACAGCGUGAGCGGGCCUGGGUGUCAGCCAGACCAGCCUGGGUGUCAGCCAGCCCAGCCUGGGUGGCAGCCAAGCCGCGCUAGCCAGCUAGCCGCCAUGCGGCGGUGAAACGAGAGCGUGAGCCGGCCUGGGUAUCAGUCAGCCCGGCCUAGGUGUCAGCCAAGCCGCCCUAGCCAGCUAGCUGCCAUGCGGCGCUAGCAGUAACAUCGUGAGAGAUAUGGGACUUCUUGAUAAAAU
ensembl:lncRNA